GCCUGUUCCACGAUGUCGAAAGAACACGUUCGCACAACUUUUACACGACAAACAGCUGAUUUCCGUUCCACUAAAAUCCAUCAGAACGAAAAUUUGCACGAAAAUCAAAGCGAACGAAAACGUAAGCGUUUCAGUGUAAUUUUGCGUUCCACUAUCUUUUUUCUUUCGUACGCAUGCGAACACAAAUGUCAAAAUCAGUCACUUGUGUGUUUGCUGUCGAAUGAUAAAAAUUAAGGAAAAUUGUUUUAACAUAAACAUUCCUUGAUUGAAAAUGGAAAGAAAAAUCACGAAAAAACUACACAGCUGCGGGCACUAGUUGAGUAUAUGGGGGAGAAUCCUAAGUUCGCCAGAGGAGUGCCAAUUUUUGGAAGCAGCAGGCAAUCCCAUGAAGACCACUGGAAGACACAAACCUAGAAAAAAUCAUUUUUUUAUUAUUUUAAAAAUGUAAAAAUACAAUCAUACUUACUGGUUGUUAGGUACUUCAAAUAAAUUCGAAGCAUCUCUUAAA